rfam:Myotis davidii contig227850, whole genome shotgun sequence.
GGCAGUUCUUGGGUGACGCACCCCGAAUUGAACUCCCUCCUCAAUGGUUCCGGGUGCAUCACCCGAGAACCACA